rnacentral:rRNA from 1 species
AUGAACGCUGGCGGCAUGCCUAACACAUGCCAGUCGAUCGGUAAGGCUCUUCGGAGUACACGAGAGGCGGACGGCUGAGUAACGCGUAGGAACACACCCUGCAGUGAGGGAUAAGACACCGAAAGGUGUUCUAAUACCGCAUACGGUCUUCGGAUUAAAGCAUUUAUGCGCUGAAGGAGUGGCCUGCGUCAUAUUAGAUAGUUGGUAAGGUAAUGGCUCACCAAGUCGAUGAUGUGUAGCUGGUCUGAGAGGAUGAUCAGCCAGACUGGAACUGAGACACGGUCCAGACUCCUACGGGAGGCAGCAGUGAGGAAUAUUGCACAAUGAGCGAAAGCUUGAUGGAGCAAUGCCGCGUGCAGGAUGAAGGCCCUCGGGUUGUAAACUGCUUUUAUAAGAGAAGAUUAUGACGGUAACUUAUGAAUAAGGGACGGCUAACUACGUG